rnacentral:rRNA from 1 species
AGUGAACGCUGGCGGUAGGCCUUACACAUGCAAGUCGAACGGCAGCACAGUAAGAGCUUGCUCUUACGGGUGGCGAGUGGCGGACGGGUGAGGAAUACAUCCGAAUCUACUUUUUCGUGGGGGAUAACGUAGGGAAACUUACGCUACUACCGCAUACGACAUACGGGUGAAAGCAGGGGAUCUUCGGACCUUGCGCGACUGAAUGAGCCGAUGUCGGAUUAGCUAGUUGGCGGGGUAAAGGCCCACCAACGCGACGAUCCUUAGCUGGUCUGAGAGGAUGAUCGGCCACACUGGAACUGAGACACGGUCCAGACUCCUACGGGGGGCAGCAGUGGGGAAUAUUGAACAAUGGGGGCAAGCCUGAUCCAGCAAUACCGCGUGGGUGAAGAAGGCCUUCGGGUUGUAAAGCCCUUUUGUUGGGAAAGAAAGGCAGCAGGUUAAUACCCCGCUGUUCUGACGGAACCCAAAGAAUAAGCACCGGCUAACUUCGU